AUGGCAACAUGUUCAGCUGACUGAUACUAAUAGGUCGAGGGCUUGACCA
rnacentral:rRNA from 1 species